rnacentral:lncRNA from 1 species
UAGAAAUGCGAUCUGAACCCUAAAUUAAGACAGGUGAGAGAAAUUGAAUCAAACCCAUCAAAAAAAUCACGAAAUCUAUACUUGAUUUGAUUUGGUAAAAAUGAAAAAAAAAAAAACCCAGACAAUUUCUAUUUAAUUGAAAAUCAAAUAAUUUUAUAUGUAAUUAUGUAUAUAGAUAGAUAAGCACGACUACCAAUCAAUGAAGCCAAGGCCGAAGAAAAGGACCAAAUCGGAGGGGAUCUUUGAAGAAUACCUUUUUGGAUAAGCUUCCACUACAUAAAAUCCAAUUAAACCUGGGCACUCUGAACAAUCAACGCUCCUCAUCUUCUUCUUCUUCUACUUUCUCUCAAUUAUCUAAUCUAUCCAACAAAAAAAGGAAUCUUUUUUUUUUUUUUGCACAAAUAUAAAAAAAAGGAGUCUCAUGAAAUUGGAAGGAAUAAAAAUGUUGAUAUGGGAAUGGGAUUGUAAUUUAUAGAUGUGUGUGUGUGUGUGUGAGAGAGAGAGAGGGGUAAAAGUCGGCACCGGAUAAUGGUGCUGCCUGCGCGACGGUGCCGUUUGGAUUUUAUUUACAUGUU